CCGAAACAGAGAAACAACAUGUUGGUUGUGGUAAACACAGUAAUUUUUGAAUCUCAAUUGUUAUCAUUUAUUAAUUAUCUCUUAUAAAACAUUUACUAACAGACAUAUCUAAACAGUCAGGUGAUUUUUACAUUAACAUGUAGUGUGACAUUUAAUCUUGAAUGUCAAUUGUUCGUAUUUGUAUUUACCUAGAACAAAUUCUUAUUUUAUUAUUUAAAGGUGGGCUAUUUAUUGUCUUUAAAUCUGUUUUUUCUAAACGUAUCUGAGAAUGUAGACAGAAGGGCUAAAACGGACAUGAUUGAUCUGAGGGGAAAUUAUUGAUCCAUUCAGAAAGUUUAUUUGCAACAAGUAAGAUAUUUUACAUUAUGUAAAGUAGACUAGGUUAUAAUGUAUAGUAGUGGGUUGUUAGUGAUAUGUUAUAUUAUGUAAAGUAGACUAGGUUAUAAUGUAUAGUAGUGGGUUGUUAGUGAUAUGUAGAUGUUAUAUUAUGUAAAGUAGACUAGGUUAUAAUGUAUAGUAGUGGGUUGUUAGUGAUAUGUAGAUGUUAUAUUAUGUAAAGUAGACUAGGUUAUAAUGUAUAGUAGUGGGUUGUUAGUGAUAUGUUAUAUUAUGUAAAGUAGACUAGGUUAUAAUGUAUAGUAGUGGGUUGUUAGUGAUAUGUAGAUGUUAUAUUAUGUAAAGUAGGCUAGGUUACAAUGUAUAGUAGUGGGUUGUUAGUGAUGUGUAGAUGUUAUAUUAUGUAACGUAGACUAGGUUAUAAUGUAUAGUAAGUAGUGGGUUGUUAGUGAUAUGUCAAUGUUAUAUUAUGUAAAGUAGACUAGGUUAUAAUGUAUAGUAGUGGGUUGUUAGUGAUAUGUUAUAUUAUGUAAAGUAGACUAGGUUAUAAUGUAUAGUAGUGGGUUGUUAGUGAUUCCCGGGACCACCCAUACGUAGAAUGUAUGCACACAUGACUGUAAGUCGCUUUGGAUAAAAGCGUCUGCGAAAUGGCAUAUAUUAUUAUCAUUAUUAUAUGUUAUAUUAUGUAAAGUAGGCUAGGUUAUAAUGUAUAGUAGUGGGUUGUUAGUGAUGUGUAGAUGUUAUAUUAUGUAAAGUAGGCUAGGUUAUAAUGUAUAGUAGUGGGUUGUUAGUGGUAUGUAGAUGUUAUAUUAUGUAAAGUAGACUAGGUUAUAAUGUAUAGUAGUGGGUUGUUAGUGAUAUAUUAUAUUAUGUAAAGUAGACUAGGUUAUAAUGUAUAGUAGUGGGUUGUUAGUGAUAUGUUAUAUUAUGUAAAGUAGGCUAGGUUAUAAUGUAUAGUAGUGGGUUGUUAGUGAUAUGUUAUAUUAUGUAAAGUAGGCUAGGUUAUAAUGUAUAGUAGUGGGUUGUUAGUGAUAUGUUAUAUUAUGUAAAGUAGGCUAGGUUAUAAUGUAUAGUAGUGGGUUGUUAGUGAUGUGUAGAUGUUAUAUUAUGUAAAGUAGGCUAGGUUAUAAUGUAUAGUAGUGGGUUGUUAGUGGUAUGUAGAUGUUAUAUUAUGUAAAGUAGACUAGUUUAUAAUGUAUAGUAGUGGGUUGUUAGUGAUAUAUAGAUGUUAUAUUAUGUAAAGUAGACUAGGUUAUAAUGUAUAGUAGUGGGUUGUUAGUGAUGUGUAGAUGUUAUAUUAUGUAAAGUAGGCUAGGUUAUAAUGUAUAGUAGUGGGUUGUUAGUGAUAUGUAGAUGUUAUAUUAUGUAAAGUAGGCUAGGUUAUAAUGUAUAGUAGUGGGUUGUUAUUGAUAUGCAGAUCGAGGUCUAUAACUCAGCUAUAAUGUUCUGUAUA